GCGGCUAUGGUUAAGUGGUAUAACAUGACAUUGCCAAUGUUAAGUCGGGAGUUCGAUUCUCCCUAGCCGCA
rnacentral:tRNA from 1 species